GCCCGUUUAGCUCAGUCGGUAGAGCAUUUGACUUUUACCAAGUUUUCUCCUCAGGAUCUUAUCAAAUUUUCGGGGGUUCGAGCCCCCCAUUGGGCG